rnacentral:rRNA from 1 species
AUUGCACGCUGGCGUCAGGCUUAAAACAUGCAAGUCGAGCGAGCGGCGGACGGGUGAGUAAUGUCUGGGAAACUGCCUGAUGGAGGGGGAUCACUACUGUAAACGGUAGCUAAUACCGCAUACCAUCAGAUGUGCCCAGAUGGGAUUAGCUAGUAGGUGGGGUAAUGGCUCACCUAGGCGACGAUCCCUAGCUGGUCUGAGAGGAGGACCAGCCACACUGGAACUGAGAAACGGUCAAGACGCCUACGUGAGGCAGCAGUGGGGAAUAUUGCACAAUGGGCGCAAGCCUGAUGAAGCCAUGCCGCGUGUGGGAAGAAGGCCUUCGGGUUGUAAAGCACUUUCAGCGAGGAGGCGUUACUCGCAGAAGAAGAACCGGCUAACUCCGUGCCAGCAGCCGCGGUAAUUC